AUACGGUACCCCAUCGUUAGGGUUUCUUCUCUAAACAAAGGACAUUAUCAUUAAGGGUUUCUUCUCUAUAACAUCCGUCGCCAUUUCUCUGUCACAAAACCCUCCCACAAGCUUGCUUAACUAGCAAAACUAUUCUCUAUAACAUCCUUCACCAUUCUCUAUGUCACAAAAACCCCCACAAUUUCGAACUUAACAAGCAAAAGUAUUCUCUACAACAUCCGUCGCUAUUUCUCUAUGUCACAAAACCCCCACAAACGCGAAAUUAGGUGGCAAAACCAGAGCAAAUAAAUUCGAGUCAUUCCUCGCCAUUUCUCUGUGCCACAAAAACCCAACAAACUCAGCACAAAAACCCGACAAACUCCAACUUAGCUAGCACAACCUAUCACAGAGGAAUCAAAUUGAUGACUAUAAGAAGGAGUAGCAUUGAUGACUAUAAGUUCGGUGAAAUAUCCUUUCGAAUAAACCAAGGGCCGCACCAUUACAUUAGGAGUCGCCCAAAGAGUCUACCAAGCAACCUCGCCUAUCUCUCUCUAAACAAGUGUAAUUGAAGCACAAUCGCUCCAAACAGGUACGCCCAUUCCAUUCCCUGCUUUUUAGGCUUUUUGCGAGCAUAUUUUUUUUUUGGCCAAAGCCUAGAUUUCUCUCUCAUCUCUCAAUUAUUUUUUUUAUGAUUUUUUAGUCUUGUCGAAGUUCUUCGAAUCCCAUAUAGAAACCCUAAAUUUAUCUUUAGUUUUCUUGCUCAAAUCUAUGCAUUUUCAUGGCUUAACAGAGGGACCUGUGAAGAACCUAUAAAAUCGGCCAAAUUUGAGAUAUCUCUCUCAUUUCUUAGUUUAUUUAUUUAUUUUUGGUGGUUGUUGAAGAUCUUUGAAGCCCCAUAAAAACCUUAAAUUUUUUUUUUCUCUGUCUCAUCUUUCUGUUAUGCUUUUUGAUUUUUUACUCUUUCUUUAAAUUGUGAUUUUUUAUUUAUUGUUAUCACUGUUUUAUUUAUCUCUCUGUUAUCAAUGUUUCUUUUUGUUGAAUAACAUUUGUAGUUUCUAAGAAGUACAAUGUUGAUUAUUUAUUAUUUAUAUACUCCCGUGUUUUUCAUUUUUGGUGGUUUAUGAAAGAAGGUGUUCCCAUAGAAUGCGUUUUGGAAUGUUAAUUUUAUGAUAUUACUCUGCUCAUGUAGUCAACUAUUGGCUACUAGAUUGUAGUUUUUCUCCACCAUUUAUUGUGUCUCUGCCAAAUGUUACUCAUUUAUUUCUUAAAAUCAGCUGUUAAAAAGAUUUUCUUGUAACCUAUCUGUACCAUGCUUCCAGCAACAUAUGAGUAACUUGGUAUUAAUAUAUAACAUCUUGGAAGCUAUUUGUACCAUACUAUGGAGUUGCUCAAUUUACCUUUCAAAAAUUUUGUUGCAAAGAAUCCGUUGGUAGUGCAGAUGGUUUGGUUUAGGUUGUUGGUAUGUGUCAAAUGUUAUUUUUGAUGUGAAAGAUGGAUGUAAAUGGCUUAUCUCUAAUUUACGUGGCCCUAAUGCAACAUCUGAAUGGAGUGAAUUUUGGAAUGCACUUUCACAUGCUUAUAAUGAGUUUUGGAAUGAGCUUUGUACAUCUCUCUAUUAUGUUUUUUGAGAAUUUUGGAUUGAAUUCUUUGGGCUCAGAAUUGUGCUCUUAGAUGCGAAGGUAUGAUUGUAUUUCUCUUUUAUGCUACUGUUGUGGUGUAUUUUUAUUGCUUUUUUUUUUUUGAUACUGUUGUGUUCUUUUUGGUUAGCAAAAUGUCUAAUGUUAAAGAAAAUUCUAAGCAAAUUACCACUGUAGAAGACAUUUCAUCUAGAAUCUCCAAACGUAAAAAUGUUUCUUCUGUUUGGGAAGGAUUUGAUAAAAUCACUAAAGAAGAUAGUUCUGUAAAAGCAAGGUGUAUGCAUUGUUGAAUUCAACUAACAAGAGGUAGUUCAAGUGAGAUAAGUCAUUCACAUAACCAUUUAAGAUGUCCAAGGAGAAUGCAUGCAACUUUAGGCCAACAAUUAUUAGCAACAUCAUUUAAGAAAGGGGAGGGGGUUUAGCAAAUUUUAAAUUUGAUCAAGAAAGAAGUAGGAAUGAUAUUGCAAAAAUGAUCAUCCUACAUAAAUACCAAUUCUCAAUUGUGCAACCCACAAGAUUUAGAAAUUUUGUGAAAAAUCUUCUACCAUUGUUUAAGAUGGUUUCUCACUCCACAAUAAAAUCAAGUAUUAUGGGAAUUUACAAGAGUGAGAAAAGAAACUUGCGGAGUUAAAGAAAAUUCCAAUUUGAGUGAGUCUCACCAUGGACAUGCAAUCUUCAUGUUGGAAUCAGGGGUAUUUGUGCUUAACUGCACAUUAUAUCAAUGAAUCAUGAAAAUUAUAGAAAUGAAGCCUUAGUUUCGUAUAUGUACCAUCUUCUCAUACAGGGGAGGUCAUUGCUACAACGCUUUUGGAUCUUUUAAUGCAUUGGAAGCUUGAAAAAAAGUUGUUUACAGUUACUCUUGAUAAUGCAACAUAUAACGGUGUUGCAACAUCAUCCCUCAAGAGACAAUUGUCUCGAAAUUUGUAACUUGUCCUCGACGGUAAGAUGUUUCAUGUGCAAUGUUGUGCACAUAUUUUGAACCUUAUUGUGCAAGAUGGGUUAUAAACAAUAGCUUUGAGAGGGUAUCAAGUUUAUCAAGGCCUCACAAGCUAGGCAUGAAAGGUUUAAUGAAACAAUUAGCCUACUCCGAAUAGAAAGUAAAAAAAAAUAUAUGCCUUGAUGUUCCACCUCGGUGGAAUUCGACUUAUAAAAUGUUAGAUGUGGUCCUAGCAUUAAAGGAGGCAUUUCAUCGUUUUUGUACAAUAUGAAUUUUCGCCCAAUUUGGUACCAUUUGAUCGUGAAUAGGAGAGUGCAAAAGAAAUAUGUGAUUGUCUGAAACUUUUUUAUGAUGUAACAUGUAGAUUUUAAUGAAAUGGAGCAUGAGCUCUAAGGAACAUAUAGGUUCUAUGACAAUCAAAAUGAAAGGUAAAAUUUGAUAAGUAUUGGAAGAUUUGUUCUUUGGUUUUGGCUUAUAACAGUUGUGGUUUAUCCUUGAUAUAAACUCCUGCUUGUGAAGUUCUACUACUUAAAAAUUUAUGCAGAGCACCAGGUAAGUAUAGUUCGGAUUGGGAUUUAUGAUCUAUAUGCAAACUAGGAAAGUAAUAAUGCAUUACCUGGUAGCUCUGGGAGUACUUUGGAUAGUGGAGUGAGAGAGAGAAAGAAAUUGGACUCUAUUGCUAAGUUGAUAGGGGGAUUUUUAAACUUGCAUUGAUGAGAACUCAGGCAAUUUAUCUAGAAAGUAUGAGUUGGACAUGUACUUAGAGGAAACUGUUUUCCAAUUUGAUCAAAACUUCAACAUCCUAAAUUGGUGGCACUGUAUGAUGUGUUUUUAAUUUGAUGGAAGUAAUUUCUUUUAGUUGAGAAUGAUGAAAUUCUGUGGAUGUUUAUUUUUAAUUUGAUGGAGGUAAGGAUAUGGGUUUAUUUUAUUUGAGAAUGAUGAAAUUCUAUGGAUAUUUAUUUUUAAUUUGAUGGAUGUAAGGAUAUGGGGUUUCUUUUAUUUGAGAAUGAUGUAUAUAUAGUUAUUUGAAUUCUAAAGAUGUUUAUUUUUAAUUUGAUGAAAUGUUAGAGGGUUCAACAUUUUAAGAUUUAUGUAAUAAGGGCUUCCCUUUUUUAUUCAAAUCAUAUAUUCAUAUGAGCUUUUUUUUUUAUUCAUCGCUUUUUCUUACCAUAAUUACAUACUAUUAUUCCCUAAUUUUGAUUGCUGCGGGUCUCCAAAAAAUCAAUACUACCCUUGCCGAUAAAAAAAAGUAACACUAAAACCGAAAUGAACUCAAAUAGAUGUUUAACACUGAAAAUAAGGGGAAUCCAUAUGUUGACUAUGGUAGUCUCAUGUGACCACCAAAUGUUUUGCUUUUUAAAAGAGGGCGUGGAAAAUUUAAGAUUAGAAUUCAAAUGGAAGUAAAUCCAGAUCUAGAUCCAGAUCCUAUAUAAAAUUUCGAAUUCAGAUAUGAAUCCAGAUCCAAAGUAUACUAUGGAUCUAGAUCCGGAUCUGGGUGGAUCCGAAACGGAUCCAAAAAAUUCUCACCCCCUUAACUAGGACAGGGUUGACCAAGUCUGUUGCAAGCCUAUUUGAGCAGGUUCCUAACAGCCAGCACCACUUUUAUUUUUAUCAUGUGAAACAUGUACGGUAGGGUAGUGCUUACCAGAGAAAAUUUUAUGCUCCUACAAGAGCAAACUGUCUCUUUGUUCAAUCAGCCAAAGCACAAGCUAGGGAUGUUUUUCUGCUCUCAACUUUUUGGGAUGUAAUCUAUAGAACCUAGGGACCAAUCUCAAAGAAAACAAAAAUUAAUUCACCCUCUAUUUCUCUAAAUAAGGUGAUAUCCUAAGAUUGAACAAGAACUGACUAAUUUUUUGAGGGAAAGUUCUAGAUGUUCUAGAACUCAAAAAAAACUUUUGUUUUGUUCUUGAAAAUAACGAUCUAAUGAUACUUAAUAGAUCCCAAAAUUAUGGAUCAAUAAAUUCUCCUAGGAAUCUGUUUUGUGGUUUGCUUCAAGUACAAUAUACUCCCAUAGAAGCAUGCUAUAUGCGUUCAACAUUUAACAUGUACAAGAGGCUAGUGCUUACUAUGUUAACCAUCCAAUACGUGCAAGAGAGUAGCACUUACUAUGUAAACAUUCAAUAUAUUUGUUCAGGCCUUGUAUAUACAUAUAACCCUCACUAUGUACACUUUAAAAAAUGGUGGCAAGUUAUAUCUCAGAUAAAUGAUAUUUUAAGUUUUAUUUGUUGGAGGUGGAAUCAUUAUCCAUAAUGUUAUUUCCGAUCUUCCAAAUGAUUUUAAUUAGCACCAAUGUACUGGUUUUUUAUCUCCUUUGAUUCUUUUCAUGUCGAAUUACCCAUUUGAUGGUGGUGAGGGAGACUUUCCACAUCUUGUUGUAGGUACUUGUGAGUUUCAUCUUCAACAACUUUGUUGCAGACUAGGGCUUGACCCAACCAAUAUUUUAAAACCCGACGAUUUUGCUGAUUCGAAUGUGGAAUCCAUCAGGACCGAAUCGGUUUCUGAAUGGUAUGGGUCCGUGCCCUGUUCCCCCUAAAACCCCCAUUUUUAAUUUUUAAUUUUUAAUUUUAUUUUUCUCUAAGCUUAUCUAAUGUUUUCAACGGUCCCCCUGAAUCCCCACAUCAUAAACCUCUAUUUUAAUUAUUAUUUUACGUCAUUUAUUUUUAGUUUUUUUUGAAUCAUCGAUUAUGACGAUUCAAGAGCGAACUAUAGAAAAUCACCAAAUGAUAGUUUGCGAUUUUCUUUGUACAAACUAGCAAGUAUUAAAACCCAUGAAGCCAUAGGGUAGAUAGGUUUCUUCUAUAUGGCCAUUAGUGCAUUGUUUUUAUUCGCUACUCUAUAAUUACUUCAUUGGCACUAAGUAAGGUAAGUUUUCCAUUAUUAUUGGGCUCCAAAUGAGAACAUCCGCCUUUCCCAUUACUAAGAACCCAGAGGCUAUGUCUUUUAAUAAAUAGAACAAUUUUCUUAAUACACUUUCAAGUGAUGUUUCUAAAGGUAUUUUUUUCCUAAUGAGAUCUAAACCCAUGCUAUAUUUCACUUACCAAAUCCUAUCCAAAUUUGGCAAGAAGAGACUUAUUGACCUCCUUGUCUUUUUCCUUCUUAAAAAACUUCUCAAACUAUUUUCAACAAUAUUAAAAUGGAUGAAAACUUUUUAAAACCAAAUUUGAAAUGACAAUAUCAGACGAUAAUAGCAGGCUCAAAGGAAUUCAGACUUAUGAUUAACAGGGCGUGCUUGAUAAAAAACAGUAAGGUAAAUAAAGAACUUACCUAUUACUGUCCAUGUUCCCAACUUUGUGUGUAAAAAACUUCCCCCCCCCUAUCGAUCAAAAGCUUUGUGCCCUAAACUUCUGCGCACUCAGCCGCUCAGCCACCCCUCUCUUCGCACUCAGCCGCUCAGCCAGACCCGUCUCUUCUCUGUGAACCCUAAGCCGCUUCCUCUCUGACAAAGCUCUCUCUCUCUUCUUUGGAAGAUUUGCCAGACCCCUCUCUUCUCUGUUAACCCUAGCUGCUUCCUCUGCGAGCAAAAGCUUGAGGAACCAGUGCGAGCAAGAGGAACCAGUGCGAGCAAGAGCAGCAACCUCUCAAUCAUCAGUCUCUCUCAAACCUUUUCUUCAUUUGCAACAAGAGAUAAAUGGGGAAAAGGCUAAGCAAGGGCAAAGUAUACAAGGAGCAAUUAUAGAGAGAAAGGCAUGUUGUUUGAACUUUUCAUGGAGAGAAAGAAUUGGGAUCAAUUUUGAUUUUAUGGGUUUUUUAGAUUGAUUGAAGUGUUGACCGUGAGAAAGACCUUGCUUAUAAAUAUAUUCUGGUGUGGCAGUAAUAUGUUUUUCUCUCGCUAGGACUUAGUUAAUUGUAGAUUGAUGUGUGACUUUGUCGCAGUAGAAAGAGAAAAUCAAGGACUUGUUUACUUUGACAAUUGAAGAGAACCGUUGUCGUAGGGGAGGGUUAGACAGAAAUUCAUGACCUUUUUAAAUAGAUGAUUGAAGAGAAGAGUGUUGGAGUUUAAAAAGACUAUGGUUGGUUUGCUAA